UACGGAGGGUGCAAGCGUUGUCCGGAAUCACUGGGCGUAAAGGGCGCGUAGGCGGCUCAUGAAGGCUGUGGUGAAAGUCCGGGCUCAACCUCGGAUCGGCCGUGGCGACUCGUGGGCUGGAGCACUGUAGAGGCGGGUGGAAUUCCGGGUGUAGCGGUGGAAUGCGUAGAGAUCCGGAAGAACACCAGUGGCGAAGGCGGCCCGCUGGGCAGUGGCUGACGCUGAGGCGCGACAGCGUGGGGAGCAAACGAGG
rnacentral:rRNA from 1 species